rnacentral:rRNA from 1 species
UACAGGGGGUGCAAACGUUGCUCGGAAUCAUUGGGCGUAAAGCGCACGUAGGCGGUUUGUUAUGUCGGAUGUGAAAGCCCUUGGCUCAACUGAGGAAGUGCAUCCGAAACUGGCAAGCUAGAGUACUAAAGAGGGUCGCGGAAUUCCCGGUGUAGAGGUGAAAUUCGUAGAUAUCGGGAGGAACACCGGUGGCGAAGGCGGCGACCUGGGUAGAUACUGACGCUGAGACGCGAAAGCGUGGGGAGCGAACAGG